rnacentral:rRNA from 1 species
CCUACGGGGGGCAGCAGUGAGGAAUAUUGGUCAAUGGACGCAAGUCUGAACCAGCCAUGCCGCGUGCAGGAAGACGGCUCUAUGAGUUGUAAACUGCUUUUGUAGGAGGGUAAACGCAGAUACGCGUAUCUGUCUGAAAGUAACGUACGAAUAAGGAUCGGCUAACUCCGUGCCAGCAGCCGCGGUAAUACGGAGGAUUCAAGCGUUAUCCGGAUUUAUUGGGUUUAAAGGGUGCGUAGGCGGUCGGAUAAGUUAGCGGUGAAAUCCCGAGGCUCAACUUCGGAAUUGCCUAUGAUACUGGUCGGCUAGAGUGUAUUUGCGGUAGGCGGAAUGUUUGGUGUAGCGGUGAAAUGCUUAG